rnacentral:lncRNA from 1 species
AUCGACAACUACAAAGUCAAAAAAUUCCAAGCAGAGAUUUCUUCGAAAUAUUUCCCACGGAAGAAGGGAAAUUUGGGACCAAAAUCGUCAUCUGUCGACUGAUUCCAACACUACGUGUAAAACCACUGAAACCUAUUUGAAUUUGAAUGGAUUCAUUCUUCUAUCCAUUAAAUCCAUCGUCACGUCCUUCAGCUAUAGUACUCAAAGCUGGUCGUCCUAAUCAGUACGAGAAACCACCUUCACUUUGUCUCAACAUUUCCAAAUCGUACCUUGAAACAAGCGAACCAUUAAAAGAUGGAGAGACUGUUACAUUGCGAAUUUUAAGCAAAUGGAAAUAAUCUGAAAUGAUUUCGACUUGGGUUUAAGUCUCAUGCUGAUACCAGACGUCAUUAAUUACCGUAGUGUCGUGCGCAAAAAAAAAAAUGCAUUAGCUUUUCUUGGAACUCAUUUCGAGAUUUUGAUCGCCCAUCCUUUGCGCACGAGAAUGUAUCUAUACUACCUAGAAAAGAACAGAGGUAAAAACGACAAUAAUCUUCCAUGAACACAACAUCCUUUGUGAAAAUGCUGUGAAACUUUGGACGCAUAGUGUACGUCUGUCUGCUGUCUGGGAAUAUUGAACGAGUGAUACUUGGGGCCAAAAGUGUCAGGGAUGUCAGGGACCUGUUUCUUUCAGUUUUUGGCAUUCGACCUCUUUUUCAGCUAGACGUCACACUAUCUUUUAAAAAUGUCUUUCGCUGUGGUAAUCAGAGGUGGUAAAGAUAAUCAGUACACGAAACCGCUUGGAACUUCUAUUCACCUCUCCAAAGCGUACCUUGAAAUAAGCGAACCACUAAAGGAUGGAGAGACUAUCACAUUGCGGAGAUUCAAACAGUCUCUUGGCGGUGGAGUGAUUUGCGCUCUCUUCAACAGCACUAGAGAUGAAGUUUCUCUCGAUUUAACAUUUCCUGUUGGAAAAAAGUAUACACUCUUCAUCGAUGCCAAUGAUCAUCCUUCAGCACGAAUCCAUCUCACUGGGUCUUUUAUAGUUGAGCCCUAACUCUUUCAGUUGUGAAAGCUCAUCGCGUAAUUUUUCUUGAAUUUCACGUUAAACGUUUUGAAUCCGUGUUGCAACUUGCAGAUUACUUUUCCUUAUAAAUAUAAUAAGCUCAUUCUGCCUAUAUUAUCGUUCUACUUGAUUGCUCUUCGUAUUCAGAUAUAUUUCUUUUGCGCAAGCUAGAUCGUGCAUCGCAGCUCCAAUUGUAUUUUGUCACCUUUUCUUUAGUUAAGAUCUCAAUAGACACGAGACUCGAGAUUAUCAAAAGGUGACGUACAUUUUAUGAAAGACGACUGGUGUUGGUGUGUUAGCGCAGACCUGGUGAGUGGUGGCACACCUGGUUCCCAUUCCCACUGACUCACUUUUUCUGACACCUGUUGCUCCGACAUAUAGGUGGGGUUUUUAUUCAACGGUUGUCAUAUUCUAGAAUGUUCUAUUUAGUUUUUGAAACAUUUAGACCAGAUGACGAUGCGCAUGUGCUGUUUAUUUUUUAAAAUAAAGUGUACAGUAGAUUAGUAUAAAGGUCCUCAUAUUUCGUUUGAAAUACGCAAAGUUCUAUUUUCCAGAGUAACACUGAAAAGAGAACGCUUUAAAUAACAUUAUUUUCAGCUAUAUAUGGGAUUAAAUAAAUGAAAACCACGGGAAGUUUUAAUUUAUUUGUGUUAGAUAAUUUAUUGUCAACUUCCCGUACCUACAAAUGGAAGCAUUGUAUCAAUCAAAGACUAUUUCAUGUUUAUUAAUAAUAGAAAAGUGGUAUA